GAUGAACGCUGGCGGCAUGCCUAAUACAUGCAAGUCGAGCGGACGGACGUGAUUCUUGCUUUUCUGAUGUUAGCGGCGGACGGGUGCGUACCACUUGGAUAACCUCCCUAUCUGACUGCGACUACUUCUGGACCCCGGGGCUAAUACCAGAUAAUAUUAUCCACCGCAUGGUUCAAUAGCGACUGACUGUCUUGCUGUUACUUCUAUAUGUUUCCGCGCUGCAUGAGCUAGUGGGUAAGGUAACGGCUUACCAAGACAACGAUGCAUAGCCGACCUGAGAGGGUGAUCGGACACACUGGAACAGAGACACGGGCCAGACUCCUACGGGAGGCAGCAGUAGGGAAUCUUGCGCGAUGGGAGAGAGCAAGACGGAGCAACGCCGCGUGAGUGAUGAAGGUAUUGGGAUCGGAAAACACAGUGAUUAGGGAAGAACAUAUGUGUAAGUAACAGUGCAAAUAAUGACGGUACCUAAGCAGAAAGCCACGGCUAACUACGUG
rnacentral:rRNA from 1 species